rnacentral:tRNA from 1 species
GCCCAGGUGGCGGAAUGGUUUACGCGAUAGUCUCAAAAACUAUUGGUCGCAAGACCAUGUGGGUUCGAAUCCCACCCUGGGCACCA